AGGAAUAUUGGUCAAUGGUCGGCAGACUGAACCAGCCAAGUCGCGUGAGGGAAGACGGCCCUACGGGUUGUAAACCUCUUUUGUCGGAGAGUAAAGUACGCUACGUGUAGCGUAUUGCAAGUAUCCGAAGAAAAAGCAUCGGCUAACUCCGUGCCAGCAGCCGCGGUAAUACGGAGGAUGCAAGCGUUAUCCGGAUUUAUUGGGUUUAAAGGGUGCGUAGGCGGCACGCCAAGUCAGCGGUGAAAUUUCCGGGCUCAACCCGGACUGUGCCGUUGAAACUGGCGAGCUAGAGUGCACAAGAGGCAGGCGGAAUGCGUGGUGUAGCGGUGAAAUGCAUAGAUAUCACGCAGAACCCCGAUUGCGAAGGCAGCCUGCUAGGGUGCGACAGACGCUGAGGCACGAAAGCGUGGGUAUCGAACAGGAUUAGAUACCCUGGUAGUCCACGCAGUAAACGAUGAAUACUAACUGUUUGCGAUACAAUGUAAGCGGUACAGCGAAAGCGUUAAGUAUUCCACCUGGGGAGUACGCCGGCAACGGUGAAACUCAAAGGAAUUGACGGGGGCCCGCACAAGCGGAGGAACAUGUGGUUUAAUUCGAUGAUACGCGAGGAACCUUACCCGGGCUCAAACGCAGGGGGAAUGCCGGUGAAAGCCGGCAGCUAGCAAUAGUCACCUGCGAGGUGCUGCAUGGUUGUCGUCAGCUCGUGCCGUGAGGUGUCGGCUUAAGUGCCAUAACGAGCGCAACCCCUAUGGACAGUUACUAACGGGUGAAGCCGAGGACUCUGUCUAGACUGCCGGCGCAAGCCGCGAGGAAGGUGGGGAUGACGUCAAAUCAGCACGGCCCUUACGUCCGGGGCGACACACGUGUUACAAUGGCAGGUACAGAAGGCAGCCAGUCAGCAAUGACGCGCGAAUCCCGAAAACCUGUCUCAGUUCGGAUUGGAGUCUGCAACCCGACUCCAUGAAGCUGGAUUCGCUAGUAAUCGCGCAUCAGCCAUGGCGCGGUGAAUACGUUCCCG
rnacentral:rRNA from 1 species